AGCCUUAAUAAUUUUUUAUACCUUAAAAUUUGCAAUUUUAUAUCUUUAAUUUCGAAUAUAAGAC
rnacentral:tRNA from 1 species